rnacentral:rRNA from 1 species
UACAGAGGGUGCGAGCGUUAAUCGGAAUUACUGGGCGUAAAGCGCACGUAGGGGGCGACGUAAGUCGGGUGUGAAAGCCCCGGGCUCAACCUGGGAAUUGCAUUCGAGACUGCAUUGCUGGAGUACGGAAGAGGAGGGCGGAAUUCCCGGUGUAGCGGUGAAAUGCGUAGAUAUCGGGAGGAACAACAGUGGCGAAGGCGGCCCUCUGGUCCAGUUCUGACACUCAAGUGCGAAAGCGUGGGGAGCAAACAGG